rnacentral:lncRNA from 1 species
AUGGAUACGCCCAAAGGCAAAACAGCAAAAAAGAAAAAGCUAACUGAAAGUAAAAAACAAAGUUCAGUAAUUGAUGAAAUGAUGGAACAAACCACCAGACCAAAACGACCUCAAAGAGCAGUGCAACCAAAAAAUUACAAAGAUCCUUCCAGUUCAGAGUCAGGAAGUGAAUUUUCAGCAUAUACCUAUAAGAGGGAGAAAUCAAAAGUACAGAAAUGUGUGAAUGAGAAAAACAAAGAUGGUAAUCAUCAGAAGGAUCUCCAGAAUUUGGAGGAGCCAAAGACAGUAGCAAACUGUGUAAAGAAAGCAUUUAUUAAAUCAAAGAACUCUACAGAACAAAAGGAAAUUGAAAUGUCUUCACCUGAGAGUCCUGCAUCUCUAGAGACAAUGAGAUGUGCUGAGAGAAUAUCAGAGGGAUGUGUUACUCAAGACCAUACUUCUAGUGAAGGGUCACCUAGUCUUCAGAAGUCAACACCAGAAAAAAAGGAAACAGUAAACUUUGAGAAAGGAAUCUCUCCCAGUAAUCUCUGUCUACAAAAGAAGAAUACUCAAAAUAUGCAUCUAAACCAGUCUCCUGAAGUGACUGUUAAAAAGUUAAUAAUUGGAAAGAAAAGUUUCUCACCAGUUCUAACUACUUCAUAUUUGGAAUUAUCUUCAGUAUCUGUGUCCAGUGGAAGUGGAGUACAGUCUUGGAGUCAAGAACCUUAUGGCCCUGCACAUGAAUCAGCAUACGAAAAUUUGUCCACUGUAUCUGUAAGUGAUCCAGCUGCUUUGGAUGUGGACAUCUGGGAACCUGGUUGUUCAACUAUCGAUAUAUGUCAGAAGCUCCGAAAAGAAUACACUAAGAAAAUUGAGGCAAGAUAUUUCAUAUACAGUGUUAGUUAUGUAUGUGGUUAA